rnacentral:rRNA from 1 species
AGUGAACGCUGGCGGUAGGCCUAACACAUGCAAGUCGAACGGCAGCACAGUAAGAGCUUGCUCUUACGGGUGGCGAGUGGCGGACGGGUGAGGAAUACAUCGGAAUCUACUUUUUCGGGGGGGAUAACGUAGGGAAACUUACGCUAAUACCGCAUACGACCUACGGGUGAAAGCAGGGGAUCUUCGGACCUUGCGCGAUUGAAUGAGCCGAUGUCGGAUUAGCUAGUUGGCGGGGUAAAGGCCCACCAAGGCGACGAUCCGUAGCUGGUCUGAGAGGAUGAUCAGCCACACUGGAACUGAGACACGGUCCAGACUCCUACGGGAGGCAGCAGUGGGGAAUAUUGGACCAUGGGCGCAAGCCUGAUCCAGCCAUACCGCGUGAGUGAAGAAGGCCUUCGGGUUGUAAAGCCCUUUUGUUGGGAAAGAAAAGCAGCAGGUUAAUACCCCGCUGUUCUGACGGUACCCAAAGAAUAAGCACCGGCUAACUUCGUG